UAAACUUGGCUUUAUCAGCCAAUCACAACUACAGGUCCACUAUAAAUAGUUGGAGUUUCCUCCUCAGCUCUCCUCUGACGGUGACGGCCCACCACGUGUCCGGGCCGUUCGACUUCCGGCAUUGAUGCAGGAGCCGAGAGCCUAAGGUGGUGGAGGAUGGUGUCUCCCUGGGAUGCCUCUCCUUCACUAGUGUGCCUCUCCACUGCACAGAGGACAGUUGAAGAAGCCAUGGAGGCAGAAAGGAAGGAGACGUUCGAAUCAAAGCACAGGAAUGUGCCGUUAAGAAUCUUCAGAUCCGUUCAGGCUUAACUCUGAAUGUCUGGCUGUUAGCAGAGAGAGGGAGAGAGAUGAAGGGGGGGAGAAAGAGCACUUUUAAAAAGUGAAAGGAAGAGCUGUCAGAGGUGUCUCCAGACAGGGGCCCGCUCUCCCUCAUAAAUGGAUUUAUAUCUCACAAGGAGUCGGAGGAUCUGUUCCUUCUGUUCUUACUGUGUUCCUGCGUGUCUGUAACUGUGUGUGUGGUGGUUUGCUUUUUUUGUGAACAUCUAUGUUGAUGGUUAGGUUGGACAACAGUUAAAGGUUUGAGA